GACGAACGCUGGCGGCGUGCUUAACACAUGCAAGUCGAACGAAGAGCGAUGGAAGCUUGCUUCUAUCAAUCUUAGUGGCGAACGGGUGAGUAACGCGUAAUCAACCUGCCCUUCAGAGGGGGACAACAGUUGGAAACGACUGCUAAUACCGCAUACGAUCUAAUCUCGGCAUCGAGGAUAGAUGAAAGGUGGCCUCUACAUGUAAGCUAUCACUGAAGGAGGGGAUUGCGUCUGAUUAGCUAGUUGGAGGGGUAACGGCCCACCAAGGCGAUGAUCAGUAGCCGGUCUGAGAGGAUGAACGGCCACAUUGGGACUGAGACACGGCCCAGACUCCUACGGGAGGCAGCAGUGGGGAAUCUUCCGCAAUGGACGAAAGUCUGACGGAGCAACGCCGCGUGAGUGAUGACGGCCUUCGGGUUGUAAAGCUCUGUUAAUCGGGACGAAAGGCCUUC
rnacentral:rRNA from 1 species